GAUAAUUUAGUUAUUGUUGUUUAAAGGUAGGUUGUUUAAUAAUAGUAAGGUCAGAAGUAUCUUUUUGUUUAGUAUCGUUGAGCGGAAGAUUAGGUUUAAGGUUAGUUAAGUACUGAUAAGGAAAAUUAAUAUGAGUUAGUGAAAGUAGAGGUAAGGUCUCGUACCUUUUGUAUAAUGGUUUUUCUAGGGUUGAGUAAAUAUUUUAUUUCCCGAAAUUAAGUGAUCUACCCAUAGACUGUAUUGGCUUCAGUGUUGCAGAACUGUGCUAAGAUUUAUUGGUAGUAGGUGAAAUUCCUGUCGCACUUAGUGAUAGCUGGUUAAUCAGGAAAAAUAUAGAAGUAUUGGGCUCAUGGUUUAUUAAGAUAAAUUAGUUUAUUUAUAAUAAUCAUUGUGCACUUAAGCUAAAGAGGAUAAGCUCUUUAGUUUGGUUACGGGUAUUAAUGUCUGAUAUUUUGAUUUGUGGGUUUAGAAUUGACCAUCGUUGGCGGAAGUUUAUUAUAAAUUAUCGUAGUUGUGUAUUCUUAGAUUAUUAUGAUUUCCUUAGUUAGAAGACUGAUUUUUUAGGUGUAAUUGUAGUUAUCUUAAUUGUUUCUGUUAAAAUGAGUAUUUUUGUAUAAAGUAGUUUUGUCUAUCGUGGGAAUUAAAUAGAUGGAAAAUAAAUGUAGUGUUUAAGAUGUAAAAAAGGAAUUCAGCAAAAAUUUAUUUCGCCUGUUUAUCAAAAACAUGUCUCUCUGUUAUUACUAUAUAGGGAGUCUGGCCUGCCCGGUGACUUAUUGGUUAAACGGCCGCGGUACUCUGACCGUGCAAAGGUAGCAUAAUCAUUUGCCUCUUAAUUGGGGGCUGGAAUGAAUGGCUUGACGAAAAUAUAUCUGUCUCUUUUACAUUUUAUAGAAAUUAAUUUCUAGGUGAAAAAGCCUAGAUUUAGCUAAAAGACAAGAAGACCCUGUUGAGCUUUAACACUUUUUAUAGGAGUAAAUCAUAGUUUUAUAUAGGUUUUGGCUUUAGAUUGUUUUUGGUUGGGGCGACCGAGGAACAUGUGGAGCUUCCUUAAUUUUAAUUAAGAUUCUCGUUUAUAGAUCCACUAAAUAGUGAUCAAUGGAAAUAGUUACCACAGGGAUAACAGCGUAAUCUCUUUUGAGAGUUCUUAUCGAAAAGGGGGGUUGCGACCUCGAUGUUGGACUAGGAUUAUCUGGGAGGUGUAGAAGUUUCUCGGGUUAGUCUGUUCGACUAUUAAAAUCCUACAUGAUCUGAGUUCAGACCGGCGUGAGCCAGGUCGGUUUCUAUCUUUAGUUUAAUAAUGUGCUUUAGCUAGUACGAAAGGACCGUUUUAGGCCAAAGAAUUUGAUGAAGUUGUAUACUAAUAAUUUUUAGGGUUAAAAUUUAUUU
rnacentral:rRNA from 1 species